GAUGAACGCUGGCGGCGUGCCUAAUACAUGCAAGUCGAGCGAAUGGACGAGAAGCUUGCUUCUCUGAUGUUAGCGGCGGACGGGUGAGUAACACGUGGAUAACCUACCUAUAAGACUGGGAUAACUUCGGGAAACCGGAGCUAAUACCGGAUAAUAUUUUGAACCGCAUGGUUCAAAAGUGAAAGACGGUCUUGCUGUCACUUAUAGAUGGAUCCGCGCUGCAUUAGCUAGUUGGUAAGGUAAAGGCUUACCAAGGCAACGAUGCAUAGCCGACCUGAGAGGGUGAUCGGCCACACUGGAACUGAGACACGGUCCAGACUCCUACGGGAGGCAGCAGUAGGGAAUCUUGCGCAAUGGGCGAAAGCCUGACGGAGCAACGCCGCGUGAAGGAUGAAGGUCUUCGGAUCGUAAAACUCUGUUAUUAGGGAAGAAAAUAUGUGGAUGUAUCUGUGCACAUCAUGACGGUACCGAAUCAGAAAGCCACGGCUAACUACGUG
rnacentral:rRNA from 1 species